CGUCGUCCAUCGCCGUUGUUAACUUUUUACAUUUUGAACUUCUUCUAGAGAACCACUGAAUGGAAUGGAAUUAAACAUGGCAUGAAUGUUCCUUAUGAGGUGCUGACCAAGAGUUGUUACUUGAUCCAAGAUGGCCGGCAGCGGGGGACUUAGUUUAAGAUAGGACCCUAUAGGAAAUACAUACAAAUGUCUUCUUUUAGAGAACCACUGAAUGGAAUGAAACCAAACAUAGCAUGAAUGUUCCUUAUAAGGUGUUGACCAAGUGUUGUUACUCUGUAGCCAAUCCAUCAUCCAAGAUGGCCGCCAGCGAAGUACGACAAUAUUAAACCAAAUAUGGCCUCAAUCAUUAUUAAAGUAUGUGUUAUGAUUUUUAUCUUUUUUAUAUGAUUUCAAAAACCCAAAUAGUCAGGUGAGCGACACAGGCUCAUUAGAGCCUGUAGUUUUUUUUUUUUAGGGGGGGGGUCUUAGUUGCGCAGUGCUCACAGUUUUUCUAUAAUGAUUAAUGUAGUUGAUCAUUAAAAUUCAUUUAAAGCAUAAACCCAAGCUAAAAGGACAACAAGCUUAUCAAGCACUCAUGGUACAGCUUUUUAUUAAACACGCAUUGAUAUAUACAUUAAACAGCAAAAUGAUUAUUGAUGCAAGAUGUCAUUAAAUAAUAAUUUUUACUCUGUUUAUGUGUAGGACAAGAACUAUAGAAGAUACAGAGAAAUUAUAAACAGCAGAAAUGAUAGGCAAUUUAAAAUUUGCAGAAGUCAACAAAUCCUAAAUGGUGAUCAGACAUCUUGGUUUUCAUGAUCAAUAGGUCAACACUGAAGAGGACACUGAAAGUUGAUAUCUAUCUACAUGGUGCGCUAAUUGGAUUAAUGUGAAAUGGAAUGUG